rnacentral:misc_RNA from 1 species
GAUGAAGAACGUAGCGAAAUGCGAUAAGUAAUGUGAAUUGCAGAAUUCGGUGAAUCAUCGAAUCUUUGAACGCACAUUGCGCCCGCCAGUAUUCUGGCGGGCAUGCCUGUUCGAGCGUCAUUUCAACCAUCAAGCUCUGCUUGCGUUGGGGAUCCGCGGCUGCCCGCGGUCCCUCAAAACCAGUGGCGGGCUCGCUAGUCACACCGAGCGUAGUAACUUUACAUCGCUAUGGUCGUGCGGCGGGUGCUUGCCGUAAAACCCCCCAAUUUUUAAGGUUGACCUCGGAUCAGGUAGGAAUACCCGCUGAACUUAAGCAUAUCAAUAAGCGGAGGA